rnacentral:rRNA from 1 species
GCAGCGACACUAUGUGUUGUUGGGUAGGGGAGCGUUCUGUAAGCCUGCGAAGGUGUGCUGUGAGGCAUGCUGGAGGUAUCAGAAGUGCGAAUGCUGACAUAAGUAACGAUAAAGCGGGUGAAAAGCCCGCUCGCCGGAAGACCAAGGGUUCCUGUCCAACGUUAAUCGGGGCAGGGUGAGUCGACCCCUAAGGCGAGGCCGAAAGGCGUAGUCGAUGGGAAACAGGUUAAUAUUCCUGUACUUGGUGUUACUGCGAAGGGGGGACGGAGAAGGCUAUGUUAGCCGGGCGACGGUUGUCCCGGUUUAAGCAUGUAGGCUGGUUGUCCAGGCAAAUCCGGAUAAUCAAGGCUGAGGUGUGAUGACGAGGCACUACGGUGC